UGGGGAAUCUUGCACAAUGGGGGAAACCCUGAUGCAGCGACGCCGCGUGAGCGAUGAAGGUUUUCGAAUCGUAAAGCUCUGUCCUAUGGGAAGAUAAUGACGGUACCAUAGGAGGAAGCCCCGGCUAACUACGUGCCAGCAGCCGCGGUAAUACGUAGGGGGCGAGCGUUGUCCGGAUUUACUGGGCGUAAAGGGUUCGCAGGCGGCAUGACAAGUCCGAUGUAAAAGGCGAAAGCUCAACUUUCGUAAGCAUCGGAAACUGUCAAGCUUGAGUGAAGGAGAGGCAAGUGGAAUUCCUAGUGUAGCGGUGGAAUGCGUAGAUAUUAGGAGGAAUACCGGUGGCGAAGGCGACUUGCUGGACUUCAACUGACGCUGAGGAACGAAAGCGUGGGUAGCAAACAGG
rnacentral:rRNA from 1 species